AUUGAACGCUGGCGGCAUGCCUUACACAUGCAAGUCGAACGGUAACGGGCCUUCGGGUGCCGACGAGUGGCGAACGGGUGAGUAAUACAUCGGAACGUGCCCGAUCGUGGGGGAUAACGAGGCGAAAGCUUUGCUAAUACCGCAUACGAUCUACGGAUGAAAGCAGGGGACCGCAAGGCCUUGCGCGGACGGAGCGGCCGAUGGCAGAUUGGGUAGUUGGUGGGAUAAAAGCUUACCAAGCCGACGAUCUGUAGCUGGUCUGAGAGGAUGAUCAGCCACACUGGGACUGAGACACGGCCCAGACUCCUACGGGAGGCAGCAGUGGGGAAUUUUGGACAAUGGGCGCAAGCCUUAUCCAGCCAUGCCGCGUGCAGGAUGAAGGCCUUCGGGUUGUAAACUGCUUUUGUACGGAACGAAAAGCCUUCUUUUAAUACAGGAGGGUCAUGACGGUACCGUAAGAAUAAGCACCGGCUAACUACGUG
rnacentral:rRNA from 1 species